rnacentral:lncRNA from 1 species
UUUUUUUCUGAACAGGUUAAUCAGGGAAUAAAAAAAUAUGCAGGACUGUUGCAUUUCUUUACAAACUCUGGUAUACUAGACAACUGAGAAGCAAACUCAGGCAGGACCCCUUGUUCUAUCAUCAUGAUGAUAGAACAGAUCCUCACUCCAUGGAAGUCAAGACAGUGCCAUUAGAUUCAGUGCAGCGAUGAUGAGCUCCAGCAGAGUGAAGCCCUGAUUAGAACCACAGCGUGUCAUUUGAUCUUCAGAUGGCUAUAAAAGGUCUGUUUGAGUGGUCAUCCUGCUCCUGUCCCAAAUGGAUGGUCAUGCAUGCUGCACAUCACCAUGCUUCUGGCAUGACUUCAGCAAAACUGGCCAGAGCUCCUUCCAGAGCUAAAACAACACAAGAUCAAGCUCUGGAUGGGAGUACAUGUUUUCACAGAAGACCAGGAGUACAGUGCAAAAGGAAAGGCAUCAGUACCUAGGGUAAUGGAAUUAGGAGGUCACAAUAAGGAUGCUGAGAAUUUAUACUUAUCUCUGGGUCAGUAUGAAGGAAUUCCUAGAAAACUUUGCCUCUGACUUGUCUAUGAAAGUGGUACAAUUAAUGCCUCUUUGUUAUGCUUUUGUUAUGUAUUUUAUUGUUAGUGUCCACUCUAUCAUUCUGUUUACUGAUCAUCAUUGUUCCUGUAGAGGAUGUCUUCCUUCAGGUCUUACUUUGGUCCUUCC